GACGAACGCUGGCGGCGUGCCUAAUACAUGCAAGUAGAACGCUGAAGAGAGGAGCUUGCUCUUCUUGGAUGAGUUGCGAACGGGUGAGUAACGCGUAGGUAACCUGCCUUGUAGCGGGGGAUAACUAUUGGAAACGAUAGCUAAUACCGCAUAACAAUGGAUGACACAUGUCAUUUAUUUGAAAGGGGCAAUUGCUCCACUACAAGAUGGACCUGCGUUGUAUUAGCUAGUAGGUGAGGUAAUGGCUCACCUAGGCGACGAUACAUAGCCGACCUGAGAGGGUGAUCGGCCACACUGGGACUGAGACACGGCCCAGACUCCUACGGGAGGCAGCAGUAGGGAAUCUUCGGCAAUGGGGGCAACCCUGACCGAGCAACGCCGCGUGAGUGAAGAAGGUUUUCGGAUCGUAAAGCUCCGUUGUAAGUCAAGAACGGGUGUGAGAGUGGAAAGUUCACACUGUGACGGUAGCUUACCAGAAAGAGACGGCUAACUACGUG
rnacentral:rRNA from 1 species